rfam:Felis catus isolate Cinnamon breed Abyssinian chromosome B1, whole genome shotgun sequence.
GCUUGGGUGGCUUAGUCGGUUAAGCGUCUGACUUCGGCUCAGGUCAUGAUCUCACAGUUCGUGGGUUCGAGCCCCUCGUCAGGCU